AUGAGCCGUAUGAGGUAGGAAACUCUCAAGUACGGUUCUAAGGGAAGGAAUUGACUUUCGCUACUACCCAAGCCAUUUACUUUUUCCGUCCAGAUUAGCAAAGAACCCCUUUACUCUUAAAAACAAAUCAAAAUCAAUCUUUUUGGUAAAAAGGUUUUUCACUUUCU
rnacentral:ncRNA from 1 species